UAAAUUUAAAAUUUAAGUAAAAAUAAAAUCUACUUUUCUGUUUUUAACGUUAAAAUUAUACUUUUUUCGGAGUUCUACAUAAUAUUUUUGAAUUUAUUCAAAAUGGAAAAUGUAAAAACUUAUCCUGUUUGAUAUUUGCUUUUCGACGUCAAAAAACCACCAAACAUAUUUUGGAUUAAAAGAAAAUAAUUCUGUUGUUAAACCAUCAACUGUCGAGUUGUAAAACCACAAUUACCAAUUUCAUGUUAGCUACAAGAUUGUACGAAGACGGUUGAGGUGUCCAUAUAUGAAGUAAAACCAUUGUAUAUGCCGACUUUCGUACACAACUAAAGUAUGAAGACCUAUAGCUGACUUAAAAAAAACAACAUUUAUGACUGUAUAUGUAAUACUGAGACAUAUGGGUAAUAAAAACUAAUUCGUGACUAUAUUUUUCCAAGUUUCUUUUUGCUUCUUGGUUAGAAUAUUUAUAAUAAUUAUACGGAUGUAUGUAAAGUCAAAUCAGGGACCGCUUUGGACUAAGUAGAGGUCUAUUUUGCCGUACCAACUACAAGUCUAUCCGGGCCAUGUCAAAACUCAUGGAUGAUUUUAUUAUAUGGCCUUAAAGAAGUUCUGCAAUAGGUUCAUUGAAGCAAAAUGAAAUGAUGAGUCUUACUGUGAUAGCUGCUUGCAUUUUACAUAAUUUGGCCUUCAAAUGUAAUGACUUGAUGGAAAUUGAGACUAGUGUUCAUGAUUUAGAUAUUUUGACUGAAGAAAUGUAUCAAGUUGUUGUUACCUACUUUAACAUCAACUACAAGACACAGAACAAUUAAAAGAAAUUAAUUUAAUUCUAGGCAAACUAUACAUUAUAUAUUAUCCUAAUAAUUUACUUGUGCCUUUUCCAUAUGAUUGAUAAUUGUUUUU